AUGUCCGCGGUGAGAAAUUCUUCCAUGAAGGGCAAUUCAAUCAAAGAACUUGCAUUUAGGGUCAGUGUGCGGGGACCAAUUCUUGGCCGGUUCGAACCUGGGUUAAGAUCUAUAGAACUGGACCACAUAUGCGGACGCCGAAGAGUAAGAGCCAUUUGUAGUCAGGUUCGAAGAUAUGGUGUCCUCCUGGUUGGUUGUAAGGUGAACUUGAAUAACACACUCCCUGUGUCAUCAUGUUCUUCCUGGAAGCAAUCUUGUAGAGCUCCGGGGCCACUAACUUUAGGGGCCCUUUUCUGCUCCAUUAUCGUGCCAGAAGAGCGCCUGGCGGCCGUCACCAAUGGUGAUGGUGGUGCAAGCCUGGAAAAAGAAUCAUGUCCGCUUGGUGGGAUGGUGUGUUGCACUGGUACUUCCUUACCUCUUUGCUAUUGUAAUGAUCCAAGUUGGUGA
rnacentral:rRNA from 1 species